rnacentral:rRNA from 1 species
GCGGGCCGCGUCGUACCAUGCAGUCGAGGGGAACGGCUUUCUUGCUUGCACUCUUUGGACGUCCACCGUGCGCACGGGUGAGUACGCGUCUCCUCCUUCCCGUGACUGAGGGAUAACCUGCCUAAAGGCACACUAAUACCUUAUGGUCUUCACUGACGAUAUCAGAUGUGAAGUAAAGAUUUAUCGGUUAUGGAUGGGGAUGCGUCUGAUUAGCUUGUUGGUAGGGUAACGGCCCUCCAAGGCGGGUCUGACAGGGGGUUCUGACAGGAAGGUCCCCCUAUUGGAACUGACACACGGUCCAAACUCCUACGGAAGGCAUUGUUGAAGAAUAUUGGUCAAUGGGCGACAGCCUGAACCGUGCAAGUAAGGUGCAGGAUGACGGCCCUAUGGGUUGUAAACUGCUUUUGUCUGGGAAUAAUGCCCAUCCCGUGUGAUUGUUUGUCGGUACCUUACGAAUAAGGACCGGUUAAUUCCGUGCCACCGGCCGCCGUAAUACGGAAGGUCCGGGCGUUAUCCCGAUUUAUUGGGUUUAAAGGGAGCGUAGGCUGGAUAUUAUGUGUGUUGCCUGAUGUUAACUUUCAACUUCUGAUUUGUACUGCAUACUGUAUAUCCUUGAGAGAGGACAGUGUAAUGCGGAAUUCGUCGUGUAACGGCGAAAUGAUUAGAUAUGACUAACGAACUCCGAUUGCAGAAGGCUGCUGACAGUAACGACACCUGACGCUGAAACUCGGAGGUGCGGGUAUGGAAAAAGAUAUCAUAUACCCUGGUACCCCACACAGUAACCACUGGAUGCCCGCUGCUGGUACGUGGUAUCAGCGCAUAUAAGAAAGUAUUAAGCAUCCCCUCUGGAGUAGUACUCCCGGCAACGGUGAAUACUCAAAGGUAAUGAGAGUACUCUCU